UACGUAGGGGGCAAGCGUUAUCCGGAAUCAUUGGGCGUAAAGCGCGUGUAGGCGGUUCCGUAAGUCCGCUCUGAAAGCCCAGGGCUCAACCCUGGGAGGCGGGUGGAUACUACGGAACUGGAGUACGGGAAGAGGAGAUUGGAAUUCCGUGGUGUAGCGGUGAAAUGCGCAGAUAUCAGGAGGAACACCACAGCGAAGGCAGAUCUCUGGGACGUUACUGACGCUGAGACGCGAAAGCGUGGGGAGCAAACA
rnacentral:rRNA from 1 species